UGCCUCGGAGUGACACAAGGUCUGACAACUCCCAUUCAAAGUCUAUGGGGAGGUUUUGAAAUUCAGAGCUGAAAUUCUGUAACGGAGGCAUUUUAAAAUCGCCAUAUCUCUUGAACAAAGCAAAGUUAGGACAUGAGGCUUGUGCCAAUAUAUCUUCAGACACUGCUGACACUCACAGUGGAAGCAGUUUUUACAAUUAUCUUACCGUUGAGCAAUGAAUUACGUUUGUUUGAGGGGUGGAAAUCUGUCCUUCUCUCAGUCUUCAAACUCUGGAAAUGAAGCCGUUUCUUCUCUCGUCAUAUCUCCGCGGCGGAGGUAGAACGAGCUAUGAAAAUCGCAGUCAAAAUACACCAAAGUCCGCUGAUUCACCCAGUACAAGAAUUAUGCUGCUAGCCCUCCUAGUUUUUGAGUUACACGACGUUUUGUAACUCCAAAAAACGGCGUUUUUCGCCUCUCACCGCGAUCUAUUUUCUGACUGCCCAAGUAUCUGUCUUUCAGACCGCCGCCCCCUUUCCAGGUGGCGCAAUCAGUAAUGACACGGCUCUGCAGCUCAAAGGUCGUGGGUUCAAU
ensembl:lncRNA